rnacentral:rRNA from 1 species
CCUUUUGUAUAAUGGGUCAGCGACUUAUAUUCUGUAGCAAGGUUAACCGAAUAGGGGAGCCGAAGGGAAACCGAGUCUUAACUGGGCGUUAAGUUGCAGGGUAUAGACCCGAAACCCGGUGAUCUAGCCAUGGGCAGGUUGAAGGUUGGGUAACACUAACUGGAGGACCGAACCGACUAAUGUUGAAAAAUUAGCGGAUGACUUGUGGCUGGGGGUGAAAGGCCAAUCAAACCGGGAGAUAGCUGGUUCUCCCCGAAAGCUAUUUAGGUAGCGCCUCGUGAAUUCAUCUCCGGGGGUAGAGCACUGUUUCGGCAAGGGGGUCAUCCCGACUUACCAACCCGAUGCAAACUGCGAAUACCGGAGAAUGUUAUCACGGGAGACACACGGCGGGUGCUAACGUCCGUCGUGAAGAGGGAAACAACCCAGACCGCCAGCUAAGGUCCCAAAGUCAUGGUUAAGUGGGAAACGAUGUGGGAAGGCCCAGACAGCCAGGAUGUUGGCUUAGAAGCAGCCAUCAUUUAAAGAAAGCGUAAUAGCUCACUGGUCGAGUCGGCCUGCGCGGAAGAUGUAACGGGGCUAAACCAUGCACCGAAGCUGCGGCAGCGACGCUUAUGCGUUGUUGGGUAGGGGAGCGU